AGCGAGCCGCAUAUCUGCACAAUCCUCCCGAAAAAAGGCAGUGACAGCGGCUGUAGACAGAGCUGGGACCUCAGGUGUGAUGACUGUCAGCCAUAAUGCCGGUCAGCGUGAGCCUGGCUGCAGUUGAGCAGAGUGCUGGAAGGCCUGUGCGAUUACCCCUGCCCCCCUGCUGCGAGCACUGCAGCAGUGGAGGGACUGAGAGGGAGAGUGAGAGAACCUUUUGGCGACAGCAACCCUGAGAGAGAUGCAGAAAGCACGUCCCCUGGGGAGAAAAGCUGCCUCAGGCUUCAGAAAGCCUAUUUACAACAAGCUGUGCUUGUUACUUUCAUCAAAAUAGAGCACUGAGCUUUUCUCUUGCCUUGUUUUUUUGUGCUUUUGGCAGGAGGUUGUUAUUGUAAAGCACUGACUCCAUUGUGCUCAGCGGUGCGGUGAAAGUCUAGCUGUCCACGGCCACAGAGAAGACAAGAGAGGACAGACGGUUGGACGUAAGACGCACCUUUUUUCCCUGAGACUCCGGCCUGUUUUGUAGACUUUGAAGGAGUGUCUUUGGGAGGAGUAGAGAAACUUGCUAUAUCACCAAAUUUUGCCAACCUUUGAUCCUCAACUGUCCUCCAUCAAGUUCAAUUAGAUGAUUGUUGGUCUCUGGCGGGCACAUUUGUCAUAAUCUAUUGGCGCAUUCCAGAUGUUGAAGGAGAGGACAGAAAAUCAAUAAACUGGAUUGGGCUGCCAGGCCCUGAGGGAGGUCUCCUUACCCCGGCUUGCGUAGCUCAGGCUCAACUCUCCUACAUCAAGUCUCUCUUUUUUCUGCUGUUUGGGCCAUCAAAUUGAAUUUCAUCAAAAGACCUCAACAAAAAAGGGAAGAUAUAUAGCAUGAGGCUUUUGUAUUCCACAGACUUUCCAUUUGCCCUCCAGACAAAUAUGCAAUCACGUAUAGUUAAUGUUCAGGAAGGGCUGCUGUUUGCUUUUGAUUUUAUAAAAAGCAAACACCAUCUGAGUUAUCACUCCAGUAGUCUUUAGUCACCAGUAGAGGAUAGACCCUCACUUUUGUUUAUCGUCAAACACAGAUACACAUUGUGUGGUAUGGGUAAAAUUCUGAAAUGUUUCUCAUGUGCGUUUUAAAUGUGAAGUGAGACAAAAAUGUUGAUCUGACAGAUCUUUUGAUUCUGCAUGUUUCUUGUUUGCUCUUAUCAACCCUGAGCAGAGGGAACAGAAAGUAACUCUGAGAGGAAUCAAGGUCAGUGACUCCUUGACAACCGUUCCAUCUGCGGGGUAUUAUCAUUUCAUUACCUGCCAACGUCAAUAGCCACUGCUGUUUUCUUUUUGACUCCAUUUCCAUAGAAACUAGUGAUUCAUUGUUUGUAA